rnacentral:rRNA from 1 species
UACAGAGGAUGCAAGCGUUAUCCGGAAUGAUUGGGCGUAAAGCGUCUGUAGGUGGCUUUUUAAGUCCGCCGUCAAAUCCCAGGGCUCAACUCUGGACAGGCGGUGGAAACUACCAAGCUGGAGUACGGUAGGGGCAGAGGGAAUUUCCGGUGGAGCGGUGAAAUGCGUAGAGAUCCGGAGGAACACCGAAGGCGAAGGCAGUGUCCUGGCUGGUGACUGACGCUGAGGUGCGAAAGCUAGGGGAGCGAACGGG